UUCGAUUCCGGAGAGGGAGCCUGAGAGACGGCUACCACAUCUAAGGAAGGCAGCAGGCACGCAAAUUACCCACUCCCGGCACGGGGAGGUAGUGACGAAAAAUAACGAUGCGGGACUCAUCCGAGGCCUCGCAAUCGGAAUGAGUACACUUUAAAUCCUUGCCAUGAGGAUCUAUUGGAGGGCAAGUCUGGUGCCAGCAGCCGCGGUAAUUCCAGCUCCAAUAGCGUAUAUUAAAGUUGUUGCGGUUAAAAAGCUCGUAGUUGGAUUCGAGUCGCGGAGCGACGGUACACCGCCCGGUGCUUACCGUUCGUCUUCCGGACGUAUGUGUCGGCGUGGCACGGGGUGCUCUUCACCGAGUGUCCCGCGGCCGCCGACGAGUUUACUUUGAAAAAAUUAGAGUGCUCAGAGCAGGCCGUACACACUUACUGAGUUACGUGCCCGAAUAGUCUUGCAUGGAAUAAUGGAACAGGACCUCGGUUCUGCUUUCCGUUGGUUCUCGGAGCCCGAGGUAAUGACUGAUGGGGACAGUCGGGGGCAUUCGUAUUGCGACGUUAGAGGUGAAAUUCUUGGAUCGUCGCAAGACGGACUACUGCGAAGGCAUUUGCCAAGUAUGUUUUCAUUAAUCAAGAACGAAAGUUAGAGGUUCGAAGGCGAUCAGAUACCGCCCUAGUUCUAACCAUAAACGAUGCCAACCAGCGAUCCGCCGGCGUUAUUCCCAUGACUCGGCGGGCAGCUUCCGGGAAACCAAAGUUUUUGGGUUCCGGGGGAAGUAUGGUUGCAAAGCUGAAACUUAAAGGAAUUGACGGAAGGGCACCACCAGGAGUGGAGCCUGCGGCUUAAUUUGACUCAACAUCGGGAAAUCCUCAUCCAGGCCCGGACACCGAAAGGAUGACAGAUUGAGAGCUC
rnacentral:rRNA from 1 species